rnacentral:rRNA from 1 species
UAGGGAAUUUUCGUCAAUGGGCGCAAGCCUGAACGAGCGAUGCCGCGUGAGUGAAGAAGGCCUUCGGUCGUAAAGCUCUGUUGCGGGGGAAAAAAGGCAGCAUCAGGAAAUGGGUGCUGACUGAUGGUGCCCCGCCAGAAAGUCACGGCUAAACUACGUGCC